rnacentral:lncRNA from 1 species
GGCCAGCUAGUUUUAUUUACUUUGUAGUCAUGUGUGCACGUACACAAGUGGAGUUGCAGCAGACUGCGUGGCCCUCCCCUCUGCCUGGGCGCUCUUCUCUAACAAAGGAGGGCAGUCCAAAGGCCACUGAAGAAGUCCACGAAUCUUCCUCAUUGCCUGCAGUAAGCUUUGGAUCAGGCCCCAGUGAGCCAGCAAGAACGUGCCGUUCAGCGUGCUAUAACAAGUCCACCGGCAUGUGCUGAUAGCUGCAGGAGAGCUGUUAGAAGUACACCCCUAAAAAUGAGGAAGAUCUUGGCUGAGGAGGCAGCAGCUUCUGGCCCAGCCCUCACCCCCCACACAACGCGUGAAACACACCGGAGCCUCUUAAAUUAGGGAACAGAGCAGCCCUGCACCCAUUCUUUCCUCCAUGCGAUAUCACAGGAAAGCUGGAGAGUAUUGUAUUACUCUUAAUACACUUUGUGAUCGUGUAAGUCUCCCAAAUCCCACUGCCAGUAAGCUCUGGUGAUUAAACAGCUUACUGAAGGGAAACCAUAGCUAAUACUUUCUACCCUUAUCAAAGUGUAUUGCUAAUGAGGACUGGGAAAACUCUCAGUGUUAAUACAACAUCUGUAGAUUAACAUUAGCUUACUCGUGCUUUCACAGUCAAUGGCUAAAAUUCAGUCAAUCACUUGGAUUCACGUCACACUUCUAAUUGGUGUUACGGUACAUCAGUCUCAGUAUUUCCCCAGCAGAAGUACACCGGGAGUGGAAAAGGCAACAUCAAGAGCUGGAGGCCAAAGAAGAAAUUUGCAACAAGUUGCUUGGACAUCAUGAUUUAGGAACCUUACAGGAGGUCUGGGAACAGAGGUUCGGGGCUCCUAAUCAUAGAAUCAUGGAAUCAUUACGUUUGGAAAGACCACUAAGAUCACCUAGUCCAACCCUCAGCUCAUCCCCACCAUGCCCGCUGAGCCCCAUUGCAUCAUGCAGUGCAACACCUAUUCUUUUCUUGAAAACCUCCAAGGACUGUGACCCCACCACCUCCUUGGGCAGCCCGUUCCUUCUUCCUUAUGGAAAAUGGAAAAACAGAAAUCAAUGAAGGACGUGACAGAAAAGGAUAAGCAGCAUGCAUCUGAUGAUGAGAAGGAGGGAAGCAUGGUAGGGCGAGAGACAAAGUGCAGCUGGCACAUUAAAAAGCAAUCAGAGGAAAAGAAACCAGUAGUUCAACUGAACAACCACCAGUGUCUUUAAUUCUAUCUAGUUUUACUGUGGGUGCAUGCUGUGCAACACUGCUUUGAAAUCUCUGAGAAACAGAUGUAGUUAACAACUCUUCCGCAGUGUAGAAGGGAAGAAAUUCUGUACUAAUUGACAAAGGAGUAAGAAGAUUCUUUUUAAAGAAGGGAGAAUAGUUUCAGUGUGCCCUCCAGGACACUAUAGGAUGGUCUCAGAUUCAAGUACAAACUCAUCUGCUACAUGGAAGCCUUGAACUCCACAAAGAUAAAUCCGUCACACAUCAGUAAAUGCAGAAAUGACAGAGAGAGCAAGACAUCCCUUAGCAACCCAACUGCUUUCCAUGCCUGGAAGACUGGCUCCUGUCAGCACAAGUAACAUAGAUGACCCAGAGCAUGUUCUCUCACCAACACAAGUAAGCUGCAUACCAAAAAGUCUGCCCUUCCCAGAAGCAUCUCUGUAAAGAGAAUGGAUGUGAACACAGACUCUGCGAGCCUAUGCCAUCUUCUGUCCCAGAUAACUCCAGAAUACUCCCAGCUCUGCAGAGCAGAGUUUUCUUGAAAGAAAUUGGGAAAAGAACCGAGACUGCCAGAGGAUGGAAACCAAAUUAAUUUCUGAAGAAACAGGUUCAUCUCUUACUGGCAUCUGCAGAGUUGCGUCAGCUUGUUGCGGAUAUGGAUUAGGCCUUGUGCUUCUGAGAAUCCAGCUUUGUUUCAAUUCUUCUGAGCACUUCCUUCUUUCCUUCUGACUGCACUUCAGUUUUGAUCCAAGUAUCAAAGAGGCUCAUGCAGCAGCUAACUUGCACCAAACACAGCAUAAAUUUCUACUGACGGCUUACCUAGAUGACGUGCAGCUCAAUGGAGACCAAAAAGGGUAAGGUCUCAGCCUCUUCCCUUACUGCAGUAACAAAGCACCUGGGGGUGCUCACUUUUUUUCUGUCUCGUAAACUGGUUGCCAUGGCAAGUUACUUGUGUUGCACUGUCAGGUAGUAAAAGGAAACAAUUUGCAUCCUCUAGAAAACUCAGAAUUUUAGAACUCUGUCGCCUAUCAGUUUGCUUUCUGCCUUGACACUGCUUAUCCCUGAAGCUCGGCGAGAGAUGAGCAAGAACAACAUCCCAGCAACAGAAGUACCUGAAGGUUUAUUGAGCCUGGUGUGUCUGCAGAAGGAAUAAAUUAAGUAAUCAUGAAGAAUAUGGUGCUGUGGGAAAGCACGUCAGAAUCCCUGCUUUUCUCAGCGUGCUCUCAGAGAUAAUGAUAUGGAGAGCACACACACUGAUACAAUCUUCCUUCUGAACACUUCAAGAAAGUUUCAAUUACAGAGAGAAGGAAAACACAUCCAGCAAAACAGACCAACAGACUAUCUGAAUGUAGAGACGGCACAAAAGGCACAGAAGGAACCAGGAAGUACUCAGCAUAAUUAGGACGAGGCUGGGUGAGAUUGUGGAUAUGGCAAAGGAACAGAAGACGCAGGAAAACAACAAAAGGAACCUGACACCACUCAUCUACCCUCUGCCUACUGAGAACUUAUACCCUUCAGCUGGCCUUCGUGCAGACUUUCUUUGCUGAGAGCAAAAUUGGGAUGUAUUCAGAUAUCCCCGUGAAGCUACAAAAGUGCAGUUGUUUGCCUUGCUGGUGAUACCGAUGAUCACAAGAAGUUUCCAUGGGUUUUUUUUUGUUUUGUUUUUUUUUACAGGGCAAAAGAGAGUUGAGUUCAAGCUGGCAAUGACGUGGGUGAUCCUACUAGAGAAACCUCGAAAAAAGAUCAACAUCUCAAAACUUCUGGAGAUAGCCUUGACCUGAUGAGUGAGUUCAGUUGUUAACUAAGUUGGUGGCCUAAGUUUCAAUGUUACAAACUUGUGUUUGUAUGUUUUCACGUCACACUAACCUCCUUCUUGCAGAGGCUGAAGAGGAAAUGACAACAUCAAGGAAUUAUUUUUUGGGGGUCACAGCACUUACAGAAAUCAGUAACAUAUCUUUCCAGGGCUAAAUUUAGACUGCUGUUUUAAAACGUCACAUGAUUAUCGAUGGGAGAAGGAAGUCCGUGAGUUAUGGCCUCCUACAUGCAUGCUACAGUUUGGUGAAGAUGAUGAGUUAAAACUGAAGGCACUGGAAUGACAGAGCAGCCCUUCAACCCCACUGCAG